rnacentral:rRNA from 1 species
GAACGAACGCUGGCGGCAUGCCUAACACAUGCAAGUCGAACGAGACCUUCGGGUCUAGUGGCGCACGGGUGCGUAACGCGUGGGAACCUGCCCUUAGGUUCGGAAUAACUCCCCGAAAGGGGUGCUAAUACCGGAUAAUGUCUUCGGACCAAAGAUUUAUCGCCUUUGGAUGGGCCCGCGUUGGAUUAGCUAGUUGGUAGGGUAAAAGCCUACCAAGGCGACGAUCCAUAGCUGGUCUGAGAGGAUGAUCAGCCGCACUGGGACUGAGACACGGCCCAGACUCCUACGGGAGGCAGCAGUGGGGAAUAUUGGACAAUGGGCGAAAGCCUGAUCCAGCAAUGCCGCGUGAGUGAUGAAGGCCUUAGGGUUGUAAAGCUCUUUUACCCGGGAUGAUAAUGACAGUACCGGGAGAAUAAGCUCCGGCUAACUCCGUG